UUUCCAGACUAUAAGUUGCACCAGAGUAUAAGUCGCACCAGCCACUAUAUCCAUUAUAAAGAAAAAUAAACCAUAAAUAAGUCGCACUGGACUAUAAAUCGCAUGGACAUACAGGUAUGUUAACAUGAAAAGUUCAGAUGCUAAUAUUGUGACGGCAAAAGGAAGAAAUGGCGCCACCUUGAGUUGAGAAGAUUUAUUCGACAGAAUGAAUUGCAGUGGGCGAUUUUAA